rfam:Nitrincola sp. A-D6 Contig94, whole genome shotgun sequence.
AAAGUCGAGAGGCUUUGUCUGGAGGAAGCCGCUAGCAAAAUUGCGAGCUGAAGAAGACAGCGUGUCCCGCAAGCACAUCAUAUAAGACGUAGGCUGGAGGCGAGUUGGCAGAGCCGGUCGCGUUAAACGCUUUGGGUCCAAGACAACGAAGCCACGUGAUCUGACGGCCACCGUAAAUUGCCUGAUCAAAUGGCAUCAGAAGUCGCAGC